rnacentral:rRNA from 1 species
UGUAGCGGUGAAAUGCGUAGAGAUCUGGAGGAAUACCGGUGGCGAAGGCGGCCCCUUGGACAAAGACUGACGCUCAGGUGCGAAAGCGUGGGGAGCAAACAGGAUUAGAUACCCCUGGUAGUGCACGCGUAAACGAUGUCGAUUUGGAGGUUGUGCCCUUGAGGCGUGGCUUCCGGAGCUAACGCGUUAAAUCGACCGCCUGGGGAGUACGGCCGCAAGGUUAAAACUCAAAUGAAUUGACGGGGGCCCGCACAAGCGGUGGAGCAUGUGGUUUAAUUCGAUGCAACGCGAAGAACCUUACCUGGUCUUGACAUCCACAGAACUUUCCAGAGAUGGAUUGGUGCCUUCGGGAACUGUGAGACAGGUGCUGCAUGGCUGUCGUCAGCUCGUGUUGUGAAAUGUUGGGUUAAGUCCCGCAACGAGCGCAACCCUUAUCCUUUGUUGCCAGCGGUUAGGCCGGGAACUCAAAGGAGACUGCCAGUGAUAAACUGGAGGAAGGUGGGGAUGACGUCAAGUCAUCAUGGCCCUUACGACCAGGGCUACACACGUGCUACAAUGGCAUAUACAAAGAGAAGCGACCUCGCGAGAGCAAGCGGACCUCAUAAAGUAUGUCGUAGUCCGGAUUGGAGUCUGCAACUCGACUCCAUGAAGUCGGAAUCGCUAGUAAUCGUAGAUCAGAAUG